GUGGGGAAUCUUCCGCAAUGGACGAAAGUCUGACGGAGCAAUGCCGCGUGUGCGAAGAAGGCCUGAGGGUUGUAAAGCACUUUCAGUGGGGAGGAGGAUUGACAGGUUAAGAGCUAGUUAAUUGGACGUUACCCACAGAAGAAGCACCGGCUAACUCCGUGCCAGCAGCCGCGGUAAUACGGAGGGUGCAAGCGUUAAUCGGAAUUACUGGGCGUAAAGGGUGCGUAGGUGGUUGUAUAAGUUAACUGUGAAAUCCCCGGGCUCAACCUGGGCAGGUCAGUUAAGACUGUAUGACUCGAGUAUGGGAGAGGGUAGUGGAAUUUCCGGUGUAGCGGUGAAAUGCGUAGAGAUCGGAAGGAACACCAGUGGCGAAGGCGGCUACCUGGCCCAAUACUGACACUGAGGCACGAAAGCGUGGGGAGCAAACAGGAUUAGAAACCCGGGUAGUCC
rnacentral:rRNA from 1 species